rnacentral:rRNA from 1 species
GGGUUGUGAGGUUAAGCGACUAAGCGUACACGGUGGAUGCCCUGGCAGUCAGAGGCGAUGAAGGACGUGCUAAUCUGCGAUAAGCGUCGGUAAGGUGAUAUGAACCGUUAUAACCGGCGAUUUCCGAAUGGGGAAACCCAGUGUGAUUCGUCACACUAUCAUUAACUGAAUCCAUAGGUUAAUGAGGCGAACCGGGGGAACUGAAACAUCUAAGUACCCCGAGGAAAAGAAAUCAACCGAGAUUCCCCCAGUAGCGGCGAGCGAACGGGGAGCAGCCCAGAGCCUGAAUCAGUGUGUGUGUUAGUGGAAGCGUCUGGAAAGGCGCGCGAUACAGGGUGACAGCCCCGUACACAAAAAUGCACAUGCUGUGAGCUCGAUGAGUAGGGCGGGACACGUGGUAUCCUGUCUGAAUAUGGGGGGACCAUCCUCCAAGGCUAAAUACUCCUGACUGACCGAUAGUGAACCAGUACCGUGAGGGAAAGGCGAAAAGAACCCCGGCGAGGGGAGUGAAAAAGAACCUGAAACCGUGUACGUACAAGCAGUGGGAGCACGCUUAGGCGUGUGACUGCGUACCUUUUGUAUAAUGGGUCAGCGACUUAUAUUCUGUAGCAAGGUUAACCGAAUAGGGGAGCCGAAGGGAAACCGAGUCUUAACUGGGCGUUAAGUUGCAGGGUAUAGACCCGAAACCCGGUGAUCUAGCCAUGGGCAGGUUGAAGGUUGGGUAACACUAACUGGAGGACCGAACCGACUAAUGUUGAAAAAUUAGCGGAUGACUUGUGGCUGGGGGUGAAAGGCCAAUCAAACCGGGAGAUAGCUGGUUCUCCCCGAAAGCUAUUUAGGUAGCGCCUCGUGAAUUCAUCUCCGGGGGUAGAGCACUGUUUCGGCAAGGGGGUCAUCCCGACUUACCAACCCGAUGCAAACUGCGAAUACCGGAGAAUGUUAUCACGGGAGACACACGGCGGGUGCUAACGUCCGUCGUGAAGAGGGAAACAACCCAGACCGCCAGCUAAGGUCCCAAAGUCAUGGUUAAGUGGGAAACGAUGUGGGAAGGCCCAGACAGCCAGGAUGUUGGCUUAGAAGCAGCCAUCAUUUAAAGAAAGCGUAAUAGCUCACUGGUCGAGUCGGCCUGCGCGGAAGAUGUAACGGGGCUAAACCAUGCACCGAAGCUGCGGCAGCGACACUAUGUGUUGUUGGGUAGGGGAGCGUUCUGUAAGCCUGUGAAGGUGUACUGUGAGGUAUGCUGGAGGUAUCAGAAGUGCGAAUGCUGACAUAAGUAACGAUAAAGCGGGUGAAAAGCCCGCUCGCCGGAAGACCAAGGGUUCCUGUCCAACGUUAAUCGGGGCAGGGUGAGUCGACCCCUAAGGCGAGGCCGAAAGGCGUAGUCGAUGGGAAACAGGUUAAUAUUCCUGUACUUGGUGUUACUGCGAAGGGGGGACGGAGAAGGCUAUGUUGGCCGGGCGACGGUUGUCCCGGUUUAAGCGUGUAGGCUGGUUUUCCAGGCAAAUCCGGAAAAUCAAGGCUGAGGCGUGAUGACGAGGCACUACGGUGCUGAAGCAACAAAUGCCCUGCUUCCAGGAAAAGCCUCUAAGCAUCAGGUAACAUCAAAUCGUACCCCAAACCGACACAGGUGGUCAGGUAGAGAAUACCAAGGCGCUUGAGAGAACUCGGGUGAAGGAACUAGGCAAAAUGGUGCCGUAACUUCGGGAGAAGGCACGCUGAUAUGUAGGUGAAGUCCCUCGCGGAUGGAGCUGAAAUCAGUCGAAGAUACCAGCUGGCUGCAACUGUUUAUUAAAAACACAGCACUGUGCAAACACGAAAGUGGACGUAUACGGUGUGACGCCUGCCCGGUGCCGGAAGGUUAAUUGAUGGGGUCAGCGCAAGCGAAGCUCUUGAUCGAAGCCCCGGUAAACGGCGGCCGUAACUAUAACGGUCCUAAGGUAGCGAAAUUCCUUGUCGGGUAAGUUCCGACCUGCACGAAUGGCGUAAUGAUGGCCAGGCUGUCUCCACCCGAGACUCAGUGAAAUUGAACUCGCUGUGAAGAUGCAGUGUACCCGCGGCAAGACGGAAAGACCCCGUGAACCUUUACUAUAGCUUGACACUGAACAUUGAGCCUUGAUGUGUAGGAUAGGUGGGAGGCUUGGAAGUGUGGACGCCAGUCUGCAUGGAGCCGACCUUGAAAUACCACCCUUUAAUGUUUGAUGUUCUAACGUUGACCCGUAAUCCGGGUUGCGGACAGUGUCUGGUGGGUAGUUUGACUGGGGCGGUCUCCUCCUAAAGAGUAACGGAGGAGCACGAAGGUUGGCUAAUCCUGGUCGGACAUCAGGAGGUUAGUGCAAUGGCAUAAGCCAGCUUGACUGCGAGCGUGACGGCGCGAGCAGGUGCGAAAGCAGGUCAUAGUGAUCCGGUGGUUCUGAAUGGAAGGGCCAUCGCUCAACGGAUAAAAGGUACUCCGGGGAUAACAGGCUGAUACCGCCCAAGAGUUCAUAUCGACGGCGGUGUUUGGCACCUCGAUGUCGGCUCAUCACAUCCUGGGGCUGAAGUAGGUCCCAAGGGUAUGGCUGUUCGCCAUUUAAAGUGGUACGCGAGCUGGGUUUAGAACGUCGUGAGACAGUUCGGUCCCUAUCUGCCGUGGGCGCUGGAGAACUGAGGGGGGCUGCUCCUAGUACGAGAGGACCGGAGUGGACGCAUCACUGGUGUUCGGGUUGUCAUGCCAAUGGCACUGCCCGGUAGCUAAAUGCGGAAGAGAUAAGUGCUGAAAGCAUCUAAGCACGAAACUUGCCCCGAGAUGAGUUCUCCCUGACCCUUUAAGGGUCCUGAAGGAACGUUGAAGACGACGACGUUGAUAGGCCGGGUGUGUAAGCGCAGCGAUGCGUUGAGCUAACCGGUACUAAUGAACCGUGAGGCUUAACCUUACAACGCCGAAG